rnacentral:rRNA from 1 species
AUGCUUAACACAUGCAAGUCGAACGGUAACAGAUAAGAUGAUCUCUUCGGAGUGAAUCUUUGCUGACGAGUGGCGGACGGGUGAGUAAUGCUUGGGAAUCUGCCCAAUAGUGGGGGAAAACUCGGGGAAACCCGGGCUAAUACCGCAUAAUCUCUACGGAGGAAAGAGGGCCUCUACAUGUAAGCUCUCGCUAAUGGAUGAGCCCAAGUCAGAUUAGCUUGUUGGUAAGGUAAUGGCUUACCAAGGCUACGAUCUGUAGCUGGUCUGAGAGGACGACCAGCCACACUGGGACUGAGACACGGCCCAGACUCCUACGGGAGGCAGCAGUGGGGAAUAUUGCACAAUGGGCGCAAGCCUGAUGCAGCAAUGCCGCGUGUGUGAAGAAGGCUCUAGGGUUGUAAAGCACUUUCAAUAGAGAAGAAAAGCUUGAAAUUAAUACUUUCAAGCCUUGACGUAACCUAUACAAGAAGCACCGGCUAAUUCCGUGCCAGCAGCCGCGGUAAUACGGGAGGUGCGAGCGUUAAUCGGAAUUACUGGGCGUAAAGCGAGCGUAGGCUGUUAAUUAAGUCGAAUGUGAAAUCCCCGGGCUCAACCUGGGAACUGCAUUCGAAACUAUUUAACUAGAGUAUGGGAGAGGAAAGUAGAAUUUCCGGUGUAGCGGUGAAAUGCGUAGAUAUCGGAAGGAACACCAGUGG